rnacentral:rRNA from 1 species
UACGGAGGAUGCGAGCGUUAUCCGGAUUUAUUGGGUUUAAAGGGUGCGUAGGCGGUCCGUUAAGUCAGCGGUAAAAUUGCGGGGCUCAACCCCGUCGAGCCGUUGAAACUGGCAGACUUGAGUUGGCGAGAAGUACGCGGAAUGCGCGGUGGAGCGGUGAAAUGCAUAGAUAUCGCGCAGAACUCCGAUUGCGAAGGCAGCGUACCGGCGCCAGACUGACGCUGAGGCACGAAAGCGUGGGGAUCGAACAGG